rnacentral:lncRNA from 1 species
UCGCGGAAUUUUAUUUAAUUUUUAUUUUGUUGAUUUCACCGAGCUCUUGUGCAUUACUUCUUUUUAUUAUGCAUACGAAUAAGAAUAAAAGUUAUUUUGUCUUUUUUAAAUUGCCCUUUUUAAAACAACAAAAUCGGCAAAGGGUCUGCAAAUAGGUUCCAAUACAUGUAGAUUUACGUGGGAAGUAUAUUGUAACAGCCAUUAUUAUGUAUAUCUCUGAGUCUGCG